rnacentral:rRNA from 1 species
AUUGAACGCUGGCGGCAGGCCUAACACAUGCAAGUCGAACGAGUGGCGGACGAGUGAGUAAUGUAUGGGAACGUGCCUGAUGGAGGGGGAUAACUACUGGAAACAGUGGCUAAUACCGCAUACUAUCGGAUGUGCCGAGAUGUGAUUAGCUAGUAGGUGGGGUAAAGGCUCACCUAGGCGACGAUCCCUAGCUGGUUUGAGAGGAUGACCAGACACACUGGAACUGAGACACGGUCCAGACUCAUACGGUAGGCAGCAGUGGGGAAUAUUGCACAAUGGGCGCAAGCCUGAUUCAGCCAUGCCGCGUGUAUGAAGAAGGCCUUCGUGUUGUAAAGUACUUUCAGCGGGGAAGCGUUAUCCGCAGAAUAAGCACCGGCUAACUCCGUGCCAGCAGCCGCGGUAAUUC